CUGCGCGCUACCGGCGAGCUCCGGGUGGCCACGCCUCCCCAUGGGGUGUUUUGGCCUCCGUAGAGGAUCGCAGUCCGUUCGUGGUGCGGGCCUCUCCCGCUGCUGCGGACAGUGAGUGGCGGAGGACUUGGGGCGGAAGGGCGUCGGGACAGGUGCCAGUGUUUAGUGAGAACUAUCCGAGUGUUUCCCCAGCAUCCGGUUACUUAAUCUCGCACUCCUUUGCUUAAAACCGUAAUGUGAGGUAGAAGGACCCUGAAGGGCAGAGGAGAUUUUUCUUCAAAGCUGACGAGUCAGUAGAACACUUACCCUCGCUGGACACCACUGCAACUGAGAUACCUGGGACAUGUGACAUACACCUGGCAGAAGAUUUAAAGAAACGCUAAGUGACUUUGAUAGAAAACCACCACUGAAACAAAAUGAAACUUUUAUCUUUCUUCCCACCUACCUGAACCCUUGAGAAUUGGAAAAACUCUCUCUGGAAGGAUGAAAUGGCGGCACUCCAGCACCACUCUGAACUAUGUGGGACAGCCCUACACUAGGGGUGAUGGAAUAGAAAGCUAGAAGAAGCCUGAUGAUUGUGUCAAACAGCCCUAGAUGGAUAAUCUCCAACAUUUACAUGAGAAAAUAAACAAUGGUUGUUUACAUCACUA